UACGUAGGUGACAAGCGUUGUCCGGAUUUACUGGGCGUAAAGAGCGCGCAGGCGGUCGUUCAAGUCGAGUGUGAAAGCCCCCGGCUCAACUGGGGAGGGUCAUUCGAUACUGAUCGACUCGAAGGCAGGAGAGGGAAGUGGAAUUCCCGGUGUAGUGGUGAAAUGCGUAGAUAUCGGGAGGAACACCAGUGGCGAAGGCGGGUCUCUGGGCAACAACUGACGCUGAGGAGCGAAAGCGUGGGGAGCGAACAGG
rnacentral:rRNA from 1 species